rnacentral:rRNA from 1 species
CCUACGGGUGGCAGCAGUCGAGAAUCAUUCACAAUGGGGGAAACCCUGAUGGUGCGACGCCGCGUGGGGGAAUGAAGGUCUUCGGAUUGUAAACUCCUGUCAUGUGGGAGCAAAUUAAAAAGAUAGUACCACAAGAGGAAGAGACGGCUAACUCUGUGCCAGCAGCCGCGGUAAUACAGAGGUCUCAAGCGUUGUUCGGAAUCACUGGGCGUAAGGCGUGCGUAGGCUGUUUCGUAAGUCGUGUGUGAAAGGCGCGGGCUCAACCCGCGGACGGCACAUGAUACUGCGAGACUAGAGUAAUGGAGGGGGAACCGGAAUUCUUGGUGUAGCAGUGAAAUGCGUAGAUAUCGAGAGGAACACUCGUGGCGAAGGCGGGUUCCUGGACAUUAACUGACGCUGAGGCACGAAGGCCAGGGGAGCGAAAGGGAUUAGAUACCCCUGUAGUC